rnacentral:rRNA from 1 species
AAUGAACGCUGGCGGCGUGCUUAACACAUGCAAGUCGCACGAGAACUCUUCUGCUUGCAGAAGAUAGUAAAGUGGCGCACGGGUGAGUAACGCGUGGGUAAUCUACCUUCAAAUUGGGGACAACAUUGCGAAAGCGAUGCUAAUACCGGAUGAUAUCCAGUGAACUUUGGUUUAUUGGAUCAAAGGUGGCCUCUAUAUAUAAGCUACCGUUUGAAGAUGAGCCCGCGUACCAUUAGCUAGUUGGUAGGGUAAAGGCCUACCAAGGCGACGAUGGUUAGCUGGUCUGAGAGGAUGAUCAGCCACACUGGAACUGACACACGGUCCAGACUCCUACGGGAGGCAG